rnacentral:rRNA from 1 species
CACGUAGGGCGCAAGCGUUGUCCGGAAUUAUUGGGCGUAAAGAGCUCGUAGGCGGUCUGUUGCGUCCGCUGUGAAAACUCGGGGGCUUAACCCCCGAGCCUGCAGUGGAUACGGGCAGACUAGAGGUAGGUAGGGGAGAAUGGAAUUCCCGGUGUAGCGGUGAAAAUGCGCAGAUAUCGGGAGGAACACCGGUGGCGAAGGCGGUCUCUGGGCCUUACCCUGACGCUGAGGAGCGAAAGCGUGGGGAGCGAACAGGAUGAGA